UCUUGUACAGUAUUGGCAUAAAACUGUCAAAAUUGUUAAACAAUUGUCAAUACGGUGGAAGUAGAUUUAUAAAGAACCGUUAGAUCGAAUGAACAACGAUCGUACAACUCAAGAAUGCUUAACAUUCUUGACGAUAACACUAAGUUUGAACGAAUUGACCAGAAGAAAUCGAACAUAUAUAAAGAAACCACUCGCCGUGAAGAUGCUGUCCGAACUCUCAUAAAUGAACUUAAAUCUAAUGAUAUAAUUUCUGAACAAGUAAGUAAAGAACUUAAUCUUAUUGGCUCACGACCAGGUAUUAUGUAUGGUUUACCUAAAGUUCACAAGCCUAAUUUCCCACUUAGACCUAUAAUCUCUGCUAUAGGUACUCCUCCUACAAACUUGCUAAAUUUCUUGUUCCACUUCUCCGUUCUUUCUUUAGUAACACUUUUACAAUUAAUGACACCUUUACAUUUGUUAAGGAAUUACGUGAGUUAAAAAUUAAUACUAAUGAUGUCAUAAUGGCCAGUUUUGACGUUAAGUCUUUCUUUUCUAACAUUAGAUGAAAAUAUUAAUAUAAUAAUUAAUAAAUGCUUUGCUAGUGCCAUACACUAUUAUGCCAUCUCUCGCGAUCAAUUUAGAGAUCUUUUAAAUCUUUCUGUGAAAAAUUGUCAUUUUUAUUUGAUGGUGUUCUAUACAAGCAGGUUGACGGCGUAGCAAUGGGUUCAUCCUUAGGCCCAUUGUUUGCAAAUAUAUUCUAAUCGUUUCAUGAGAGAUCCUGGUUAGCUGACUGCCCUUCUGUUUUUAAGCCUAUAUUCUAUCGUCGGUAUGUUGAUGAUUGUUUUCUUAUUUUCACAUCACGUGACCAUGUCACUCCUUUCUUUUCCUAUCUAAAAUCGAAACACCCCAACAUUCAAUUUACUUAUGAGCUUGAAAGUAAUUCGUGCCUUCCUUUCCUAGAUGUCAAAGUCAUUCGAUCUAACGGUUUUUUCGCUACCACGGUUCAUCAUAAAUCUACUUCCACCGGAUUGUUUACCAAUUUUGACAGUUUUAUUCCAAUACUGUACAAGAAAGGUUUACUUUUCUCUC